AUGCGAGUCGAGAGGGUUCGGCCCUCGGCGGACGGCUCAGUAACACGUGGAUAACCUACCCUUAGGUGGGGGAUAACCUCGGGAAACUGAGGAUAAUACCCCAUAGUUCUAGGAGGCUGGAAUGCACCUAGAAUGAAAGCUCCGGCGCCUAAGGAUGGGUCUGCGGCCUAUCAGGUAGUAGUCAGGGUAACGACCUGACUAGCCUACGACGGGUACGGGUUGUGAGAGCAAUAGCCCGGAGAUGGACUCUGAGACACGAGUCCAGGCCCUACGGGGCGCAGCAGGCGCGAAACCUCCGCAAUGCGCGAAAGCGCGACGGGGGGAUUCCAAGUGCUGGCUCGUAAGAGUCAGCUGUUCUCGAGCCUAAAAAGCUCGGGAAGUAAGGGCUGGGUAAGACGGGUGCCAGCCGCCGCGGUAAUACCCGCAGCUCGAGUGGUGGCCACUAUUAUUGGGCCUAAAACGUCCGUAGCCGGUCUGGUAAAUGCCUGGGUAAAUCGUGAGGCUCAACCUUACGAACUCCGGGUAGACUGCCAGACUAGGGACCGGGAGAGGCUAGAGGUACUCCGGGGGUAGGGGUGAAAUCCUGUAAUCCUCGGGGGACCACCAG
rnacentral:rRNA from 1 species